ensembl:snoRNA
CUACCAAGAUGGCAACACUUUCCAUCAACAGCAGUUCACCUAGAGAGAGUCAACACUUUUUGUCUGAGUAA